AACGAACGUUAGCGGCGCGCUUAACACAUGCAAGUCGCACGAGAAAGGGCUUCGGCCCCAGUAAAGUGGCGCACGGGUGAGUAACACGUGGGUAAUCUUCCCUCGAGCGGGGGAUAACAUUCCGAAAGGAGUGCUAAUACCGCAUAAGACCACGGACUCGAAAGAGUCUGCGGUCAAAGCUGGCCUCUAUACAUAAGCUAGCACUUGAGGAUGAGCCCGCGGCCCAUCAGGUAGUUGGUAGGGUAACGGCCUACCAAGCCUAAGACGGGU
rnacentral:rRNA from 1 species